rnacentral:rRNA from 1 species
AUGUGAACUUACCACUUGUUGCUUCGGCGCGCGCUUCGGCGCCGCCGAGGACACUUAAACUCUUUGUUUUUAUAAGCAUUUCUGAGUGGCCGAAAGGCAAAAAUACAAAUGAAUCAAAACUUUCAACAACGGAUCUCUUGGUUCUGGCAUCGAUGAAGAACGCAGCGAAAUGCGAUAAGUAAUGUGAAUUGCAGAAUUCAGUGAAUCAUCGAAUCUUUGAACGCACAUUGCGCCCGCCAGCAUUCUGGCGGGCAUGCCUGUUCGAGCGUCAUUUCAACCCUCGAGCCCGACUCUUUUGAGGACGGCUCGGCGUUGGGGGACGGCAGACUCCCCCCGGCAUCUCGCCGGGGACGCCGCCCCCGAAAUCUAGUGGCGGCCCUCCGAGGCGACCUCUGCGUAGUAACUUGUUCUCGCACCGGAAAGCUCAGAGCGGCCACGCCGUAAAACCCCAACUUUUUUCAGGUUGACCUCGAAUCAGGUAGGACUACCCGCUGAACUUAAGCAUAUCAAUA